rnacentral:rRNA from 1 species
UACGAAGGGUGCAAGCGUUAAUCGGAAUUACUGGGCGUAAAGCGCGCGUAGGCGGUUCAGUAAGUUGGAAGUGAAAGCCCCGGGCUCAACCUGGGAACUGCUUUCAAAACUGCUGAGCUAGAGUACGGUAGAGGGUAGUGGAAUUUCCUGUGUAGCGGUGAAAUGCGUAGAUAUAGGGAGGAACACCAGUGGCGAAGGCGACUACCUGGACUAAUACUGACACUGAGGUGCGAAAGCGUGGGGAGCAAACAGG